rnacentral:miRNA from 1 species
UAUUCUGUUAAGUUGACAGUUUGGUCAGACGUUAACUAAUGACGUGUCCAUAUUGAGAAUUUAAACUGAUGACGUUAAGGAAUUGGUGGGUUCUACAUUGGACACGUCAUCAGUUAAUAUCUGACCAAACGGUUUAUUUA